GAUGAACGCUGGCGGCGUGCCUAAUACAUGCAAGUCGAGCGAAUGGAUUAAGAGCUUGCUCUUAUGAGGUUAGCGGCGGACGGGUGAGUAACACGUGGGUAACCUGCCCAUAAGACUGGGAUAACUCCGGGAAACCGGGGCUAAUACCGGAUAACAUUUUGAACCGCAUGGUUCGAAUUUGAAAGGCGGCUUCGGCUGUCACUUAUGGAUGGACCCGCGUCGCAUUAGCUAGUUGGUGAGGUAACGGCUCACCAAGGCAGCGAUGCGUAGCCGACCUGAGAGGGUGAUCGGCCACACUGGGACUGAGACACGGCCCAGACUCCUACGGGAGGCAGCAGUAGGGAAUCUUCCGCAAUGGACGAAAGUCUGACGGAGCAACGCCGCGUGAGUGAUGAAGGCUUUCGGGUCGUAAAACUCUGUUGUUAGGGAAGAACAAGUGCUAGUUGAAUAAGCUGGCACCUUGACGGUACCUAACCAGAAAGCCACGGCUAACUACGUGCCAGCCGCCGCUGUAA
rnacentral:rRNA from 1 species